UACGUAGGUGGCAAGCGUCGUCCGGAUUUAUUGGGUUUAAAGGGUGCGUAGGCGGCUUAUUAAGUCAGUGGUGAAAUACUCUAGCUCAACUAGAGGGGUGCCAUUGAUACUGAUGAGCUUGAGUACAGAUGAGGUAGGCGGAAUUGACGGUGUAGCGGUGAAAUGCUUAGAUAUCGUCAAGAACACCUAUAGCGAAGGCAGCUUACUAGGCUGUAACUGACGCUGAGGCACGAAAGUGUGGGGAUCAAACAGG
rnacentral:rRNA from 1 species